AACGAACGCUGGCGGCAGGCUUAACACAUGCAAGUCGAACGCAUCCUUCGGGGUGAGUGGCAGACGGGUGAGUAACGCGUGGGAACGUGCCCUUCAGUUCGGGAUAACCCAGGGAGACUUGGGCUAAUACCGGAUACGUGCGAGAGCAGAAAGAUUUAUCGCUGAAGGAUCGGCCCGCGUCUGAUUAGCUAGUUGGUGGGGUAAUGGCCCACCAAGGCGACGAUCAGUAGCUGGUCUGAGAGGAUGAUCAGCCACAUUGGGACUGAGACACGGCCCAAACUCCUACGGGAGGCAGCAGUGGGGAAUAUUGGACAACGGGCGCAAGCCUGAUCCAGCCAUGCCGCGUGAGUGAUGAAGGCCUUAGGGUUGUAAAGCUCUUUCGUCCGGGACGAUAAUGACGGUACCGGAAGAAGAAGCCCCGGCUAACUUCGUGCCAGCCGCCGCAGUAA
rnacentral:rRNA from 1 species